rnacentral:rRNA from 1 species
CUGCGUACCUUUUGUAUAAUGGGUCAGCGACUUAUAUUCAGUAGCGAGGUUAACCGUAUAGGGGAGCCGUAGAGAAAUCGAGUCUUAAUAGGGCGUUUAGUUGCUGGGUAUAGACCCGAAACCAGGCGAUCUAUCCAUGAGCAGGUUGAAGGUUGGGUAACACUAACUGGAGGACCGAACCCACUGUCGUUGAAAAGCCAGGGGAUGACUUGUGGAUAGGGGUGAAAGGCUAAUCAAGCCUGGUGAUAGCUGGUUCUCCCCGAAAGCUAUUUAGGUAGCGCCUCGGACGAAUACCAUAGGGGGUAGAGCACUGUUUCGGCUAGGGGGUCAUCCCGACUUACCAAACCGAUGCAAACUCCGAAUACCUAUGAGUACUAUCCGGGAGACAGACUGCGGGUGCUAACGUCCGUAGUCAAGAGGAAAACAAUCCAGACCGCCAGCUAAGGCCCCAAAAUCAUAGUUAAGUGGGAAACGAUGUGGGAAGGCAUAGACAGCUAGGAGGUUGGCUUAGAAGCAGCCACCCUUUAAAGAAAGCGUAAUAGCUCACUAGUCGAGUCGGCCUGCGCGGAAGAUGUAACGGGGCUAAAACUAUGUGCCGAAGCUGCGGAUUUGACAUUAGUCAAGUGGUAGGGGAGCGUUCUGUAAGCCGAUGAAGGUGUAUUGAGAAGUAUGCUGGAGGUAUCAGAAGUGCGAAUGCUGACGUGAGUAACGACAAAACGGGUGAAAAACCCGUUCGCCGAAAGACCAAGGGUUCCAGUCCAACGUUAAUCGGGGCUGGGUGAGUCGACCCCUAAGGCGAGGCCGAAAGGCGUAGUCGAUGGGAAAAUGGUUAAUAUUCCAUUACUUCUGUGUAAUGCGAUGAGAGGACGGAGAAGGCUAAAUCAGCCUGGCGUUGGUUGUCCAGGUGAAAGGAUGUAGGCAUGUAUCUUAGGCAAAUCCGGGGUACUCUAUGCUGAGAUCUGAUAGCAAGCUGUACUUGUACAGCGAAGUGGUUGAUGCCAUGCUUCCAGGAAAAGUCUCUAAGCUUCAGUUACACAGGAAUCGUACCCGAAACCGACACAGGUGGUCAGGUCGAGUAGACCAAGGCGCUUGAGAGAACUCUGCUGAAGGAACUAGGCAAAAUGGUACCGUAACUUCGGGAGAAGGUACGCUGUUGUUGGUGAUGGAACUCGCUUCCUGAGCUGACGACAGCCGCAGAAACCAGGCCGCUGCAACUGUUUAUUAAAAACAUAGCACUCUGCAAACACGAAAGUGGACGUAUAGGGUGUGAUGCCUGCCCGGUGCUGGAAGGUUAAUUGAUGGGGUUAGCGUAAGCGAAGCUCUUGAUCGAAGCCCCAGUAAACGGCGGCCGUAACUAUAACGGUCCUAAGGUAGCGAAAUUCCUUGUCGGGUAAGUUCCGACCUGCACGAAUGGCAUAAUGAUGGCGGCGCUGUCUCCAGCAGAGGCUCAGUGAAAUCGAAAUCGCUGUGAAGAUGCAGUGUACCCGCGGCUAGACGGAAAGACCCCGUGAACCUUUACUGCAGCUUGACACUGAACUUUGACCUUACUUGUGUAGGAUAGGUGGGAGGCUUUGAAGCUGGAACGCUAGUUCCAGUGGAGCCGUCCUUGAAAUACCACCCUGGUAAUGUUGAGGUUCUAACUCUGUCCCGUGAUCCGGGACGAGGACCGUGUCUGGUGGGUAGUUUGACUGGGGCGGUCUCCUCCUAAAGAGUAACGGAGGAGUACGAAGGUGCGCUCAGCGUGGUCGGAAAUCACGCGUAGAGUAUAAAGGCAAAAGCGCGCUUAACUGCGAGACCCACAAGUCGAGCAGGUACGAAAGUAGGUCUUAGUGAUCCGGUGGUUCUGUAUGGAAGGGCCAUCGCUCAACGGAUAAAAGGUACUCUGGGGAUAACAGGCUGAUACCGCCCAAGAGUUCAUAUCGACGGCGGUGUUUGGCACCUCGAUGUCGGCUCAUCUCAUCCUGGGGCUGAAGCAGGUCCCAAGGGUAUGGCUGUUCGCCAUUUAAAGAGGUACGCGAGCUGGGUUUAGAACGUCGUGAGACAGUUCGGUCCCUAUCUACCGUGGGCGCUGGAAAUUUGAGAGGAUCUGCUCCUAGUACGAGAGGACCAGAGUGGACGAACCUCUGGUGUACCGGUUGUGACGCCAGUCGCAUCGCCGGGUAGCUAUGUUCGGAAGGGAUAACCGCUGAAAGCAUCUAAGCGGGAAGCCUACCUCAAGAUAAGAUUUCCCUAGGACUUUAUGUCCUCUAAAGAGCCGUUCGAGACUAGGACGUUGAUAGGUUGGAUGUGGAAGCAUAGUGAUAUGUGAAGCUGACCAAUACUAAUUGCUCGUGAGGCUUGACUAU